UCUUCAUCCUCUAAAUAUUCUCUUACUUUGGAGUAUCCAAGGUGUUUGAAGAAGAAGAAAGAAAUCAGCCAUUGAAGUUUCUUGCAGGCUAGCACCUCCAAGGACCCUGAUCUGCACCAGUCUUCGCAUGGAUUUUCUAUAGAGAUCAGAUGACUGGCUAUGAGUGACCUGAAGGACAUCUUCUCUAAGUGUUGAACCAGCAAAGAUCAAGAUCUCCUUGGUUUGGUAAUUAUUUCUAACCUAUCUUGAUCAUAUUGUUAGAUCUAAUAGUUAGAUAUUCAUGGUAGCAUCGAUUAGAUCGAUAUAAAUUUUUAUAUUC
rnacentral:lncRNA from 1 species